AUAUUAACUAUUUUAAUGAAUAUUAAAGUAAAUAAGAUAAUACAUCCAAACUGAACCACAUGGGAAGUAUCCCACCCCGUGCAGAGUGUAGCCUCACGUGUCAAAACAAACACCACGAGGUGUCAGUAUAAUGACAGCUGACCCUUCUCAGCUGCUCCCGCAACGGAUGUAACAGGGAAAAACUAUCGGUAUGGAUUAUUGCUAAUAACCGACAGUUCCAGCAAUCAGUUAUCGACAAAACUCAUCAAUCAUUCGACCUCUAAUACCUGUAACACUGCAAUGCCUAAUUAUUACUUUCUCUUUUUUACCACAGUAUCAGUCCAUCAACAGCUUUUCUUGCAGUUUUUCAAGUUCCUAAGUUUCCUUUUGAUGUUCAGGCCAAGUUGGACCAAAAACAACGCAAACUUUCAACAUCAGAUAGAAACAAAAUGAUAAGAACAUUGUAUGAAAGCAUGGCUCGGUACAAGAUGUGUCUGACUAAUGAAGAGUAUGUUCGAGUGGCUAAGGCCCUGACUCUGAGGUACCCCUUUUUAAAGGACAAAGAGGGCAAUGGAGAUGUGAGUACAAGGGUUACUCUUAAUGUCCUACUCUUGAUUCUGUUCAUGCAAUUUGUUAUUUAGUGUAAAUUUGUUUUUUGCCCAGGUAUUAUUUUGAAUAGCACACAUGGCACACGUCUCUGAAACGCACGUUUAAAUUUGAGCGGACACGUUCGGCUGAUGUUGAAAAGAUUUAAACAGAAGUUUUAGUCAUUCGAAAAAAGUCUCUGCAACCUGACAGCAGUUGCAAAAAAAUUACAAGGCCUUUGAAAAUUCAGGGAUGAACUUGGCUGCUCCGUGUGACCAAGAGGCGGUGUUAUCAAGGCCUGUGCAUCCUCAUCUACUCCCAGCUUCACUUUGUUCUUCAUUUUGCGUCUGAAAGAAUGGAAAAAAAGACAUUGAGUUACCCAUGGAGAAUCAAUGUUCUUGAAAAAGCAUCCAGUGUGCUACGGCUUGCUCAAGGGAAAUCUCUUUUAGCAAAGCUGCACAAAGAGACUAGAGAAGAAUCUCUCUGUGAAGACCACCUUGGUAUUGAUGUUGCCAGCCUUGUUCAGGGAGAAACUUGAACAUUUCAUUGUGCUUGGGGAGAAUGAAGCAUCAUCACCAUAUCCAACUGUUCCAGUACCAGAAGUCACUGACUGGAAAACUGUGUUUACAAGAAGAGUCACUGCA